GCGGGCGUAGCUCAGUUGGUUAGAGCCUGUCACGCCGGAGGCCGCGGGUUCAAGUCCCGUCGCUCGCGCCA
rnacentral:tRNA from 1 species